rnacentral:rRNA from 1 species
GAUGAACGCUGGCGGCGUGCCUAAUACAUGCAAGUCGAGCGAACGGACGAGAAGCUUGCUUUUCUGAUGUUAGCGGCGGACGGGUGAGUAACACGUGGAUAACCUACCUAUAAGACUGGGAUAACUUCGGGAAACCGGAGCUAAUACCGGAUAAUAUUUUGAACCGCAUGGUUCAAAAGUGAAAGACGGUCUUGCUGUCACUUAUAGAUGGAUCCGCGCUGCAUUAGCUAGUUGGUAAGGUAACGGCUUACCAAGGCAACGAUGCAUAGCCGACCUGAGAGGGUGACCGCCCACACGGAAACUGAGACACGGCCCAGACUCCGACGGGAGGCAGCAGUGGGGAACUUUGCACAAUGGGCGAAAGCCGGAGACAGCAACACCGCGUGAGUGAAGAUGGUCUUCGGAUUGUAAAACUCUUUUAUUGGGAAAGAAAAUAUGUAGAAUAACAUCCCCCUGUCUUGACGGUACCUAAAAAAAAAGCCCCGGCUAACUUCGUG